GAUGAACGCUGGCGGCGUGCCUAACACAUGCAAGUCGAGCGAAGCACUCUACUCGAUUUCUUCGGGAUGAAGGUUUAGUGACUGAGCGGGCGACGGGUGAAGUACGCGUGGUAACCUGCCUCAUACAGGGGGAUAACAGUUAGAAAUGGCUGCUAAUACCGCAUAAGCGCACAGUACCGCAUGGUACAGUGUGAAAAACUCCGGUGGUAUGAGAUGGACCCGCGUCUGAUUAGCUGGUUGGUGGGGUAACGGCCCACCAAGGCGACGAUCAGUAGCCGGCCUGAGAGGGUGAACGGCCACAUUGGGACUGAGACACGGCCCAA
rnacentral:rRNA from 1 species